rnacentral:tRNA from 1 species
GCCCCUAUCGUCUAGUGCUUCAGGACAUCUCUCUUUCAAGGAGGCAGCGGGGAUUCGACUUCCCCUGGGGUA